CUGCAGGGCAGCCGCGUCCUCAGCGCGGCUCUGGACCCGGGAUUAGAUGGUGCCCGCCGCCAGGGACGGUAGAGAGCCUGGGGCCUAGUUGGUAUUCCACUGCCUCUGCUCACAGAGGUCCAGGGGCAUUUCAGUCGAGGAGAUGGACUGCCUGAAGUCAGGGACCUGUCAGUCCCACAUCAGCCACAAAUUGGGUGGACGAUGUUGAGUAAGUCAUUUACGUCUCCCUGCCCCUCAGCUUCUUGCACCAUUGACAAGAGCUAGAAACACCUGAACUGCCAAACCUUUGG